AGAGUUUGAUCCUGGCUCAGAGCGAACGCUGGCGGCAGGCUUAACACAUGCAAGUCGAGCGGGCGUAGCAAUACGUCAGCGGCAGACGGGUGAGUAACGCGUGGGAACGUACCUUUUGGUUCGGAACAACCCAGGGAAACUUGGACUAAUACCGGAUAAGCCCUUACGGGGAAAGAUUUAUCGCCGAAAGAUCGGCCCGCGUCUGAUUAGCUAGUUGGUGAGGUAAUGGCUCACCAAGGCGACGAUCAGUAGCUGGUCUGAGAGGAUGAUCAGCCACAUUGGGACUGAGACACGGCCCAAACUCCUACGGGAGGCAGCAGUGGGGAAUAUUGGACAAUGGGCGCAAGCCUGAUCCAGCCAUGCCGCGUGAGUGAUGAAGGCCCUAGGGUUGUAAAGCUCUUUUGUGCGGGAAGAUAAUGACGGUACCGCAAGAAUAAGCCCCGGCUAACUUCGUGCCAGCAGCCGCGGUAAUACGAAGGGGGCUAGCGUUGCUCGGAAUCACUGGGCGUAAAGGGUGCGUAGGCGGGUCUUUAAGUCAGGGGUGAAAUCCUGGAGCUCAACUCCAGAACUGCCUUUGAUACUGAAGAUCUUGAGUCCGGGAGAGGUGAGUGGAACUGCGAGUGUAGAGGUGAAAUUCGUAGAUAUUCGCAAGAACACCAGUGGCGAAGGCGGCUCACUGGCCCGGUACUGACGCUGAAGCACGAAAGCGUGGGGAGCAAACAGGAUUAGAUACCCUGGUAGUCCACGCCGUAAACGAUGAAUGCCAGCCGUUAGUGGGUUUACUCACUAGUGGCGCAGCUAACGCUUUAAGCAUUCCGCCUGGGGAGUACGGUCGCAAGAUUAAAACUCAAAGGAAUUGACAGGGGCCCGCACAAGCGGUGGAGCAUGUGGUUUAAUUCGACGCAACGCGCAGAACCUUACCAGCCCUUGACAUCCCGGUCCCGGACUCCAGAAACGAU
rnacentral:rRNA from 1 species